UACGAAGGGGGCUAGCGUUGUUCGGAAUUACUGGGCGUAAAGCGCACGUAGGCGGGUUAUUAAGUCAGGGGUGAAAUCCCGGAGCUCAACUCCGGAGCUGCCUUUGAUACUGGUAAUCUAGAGAUCGGAAGAGGUUAGUGGAAUUCCCAGUGUAGAGGUGAAAUUCGUAGAUAUUGGGAAGAACACCAGUGGCGAAGGCGGCUAACUGGUCCGAUACUGACGCUGAGGUGCGAAAGCGUGGGGAGCAAACAGG
rnacentral:rRNA from 1 species